GGGCCGGUAGCUUAGCCUGGUUAGAGCGCCAGUCUUAUAAACUGGAGGUCGAGAGUUCGAAUCUCUCCCGGCCCA
rnacentral:tRNA from 1 species